rnacentral:rRNA from 1 species
UGGGGAAUAUUGGACAAUGGGCGCAAGCCUGAUCCAGCCAUGCCGCGUGAGUGAUGAAGGCCUUAGGGUUGUAAAGCUCUUUCGCCGGUGAAGAUAAUUGACGGUAACCGGAGAAGAAGCCCCGGCUAACUUCGUGCCAGCAGCCGCGGUAAUACGAAGGGGGCUAGCGUUGCUCGGGAUCACUGGGCGUAAAGCGCACGUAGGCGGAUCGUUAAGUCAGGGGUGAAAUCCUGGAGCUCAACUCCAGAACUGCCCUUGAUACUGGCGAUCUCGAGUUCGAGAGAGGUUGGUGGAAACUCCGAGUGUAGAGGUGAAAUUCGUAGAUAUUCGGAAGAACACCAGUGGCGAAGGCGGCCAACUGGCUCGAUACUGACGCUGAGGUGCGAAAGCGUGGGGAGCAAACAGGAUUAGAUACCCCUGGUAGUCCACGCCGUAAACGAUGGAUGCUAGCCGUUGGGGGGUUUACCUCUCAGUGGCGCAGCUAACGCCUUAAGCAUCCCGCCUGGGGAGUACGGUCGCAAGAUUAAAACUUAAUGAAUUGACGGGGUCAUAGCUGUUUCCU